GACGAACGCUGGCGGCGUGCCUAAUACAUGCAAGUAGAACGCUGAAGCUUGGUGCUUGCACCGAGCGGAUGAGUUGCGAACGGGUGAGUAACGCGUAGGUAACCUGCCUGGUAGCGGGGGAUAACUAUUGGAAACGAUAGCUAAUACCGCAUAAGAGUAGAUGUUGCAUGACAUUUGCUUAAAAGGUGCAAUUGCAUCACUACCAGAUGGACCUGCGUUGUAUUAGCUAGUUGGUGAGGUAACGGCUCACCAAGGCAACGAUACAUAGCCGACCUGAGAGGGUGAUCGGCCACACUGGGACUGAGACACGGCCCAGACUCCUACGGGAGGCAGCAGUAGGGAAUCUUCGGCAAUGGACGGAAGUCUGACCGAGCAACGCCGCGUGAGUGAAGAAGGUUUUCGGAUCGUAAAGCUCUGUUGUAAGAGAAGAACGAGUGUGAGAGUGGAAAGUUCACACUGUGACGGUAUCUGACCAGAAAGGGACGGCUAACUACGUG
rnacentral:rRNA from 1 species